AGAGUUUGAUCAUGGCUCAGGAUGAACGCUAGCGACAGGCUUAACACAUGCAAGUCGAGGGGCAUCAUGAGGUAGCAAUACCUUGAUGGCGACCGGCGCACGGGUGAGUAACGCGUAUGCAACCUGCCUGAUACCGGGGUAUAGCCCAUGGAAACGUGGAUUAACACCCUAUAGUACAUUUAUCCUGCAUGGGAUGUAAGUUAAAUGUUUAAGGUAUCGGAUGGGCAUGCGUCCUA
rnacentral:rRNA from 1 species